rnacentral:rRNA from 1 species
AUUGAACGCUGGCGGCAGGCCUAACACAUGCAAGUCGAGCGGAUGAAGAGAGCUUGCUCUCUGAUUCAGCUGCGGACGGGUGAGUAAUGCCUAGGAAUCUGCCUGGUAGUGGGGGACAACGUUUCGCAAGGAACGCUAAUACCGCAUACGUCCUACGGGAGAAAGUGGGGGAUCUUCGGACCUCACGCUAUCAGAUGAGCCUAGGUACGAUUAGCUAGUUGGUGAGGUAAAGGCUCACCAAGGCGACGAUCGUUAACUGGUCUGAGAGGAUGAUCAGUCACACUGGAACUGAGACACGGUCCAGACUCCUACGGGAGGCAGGAGUGGGGAAUAUUGGACAAUGGGCGAAAGCCUGAUCCAGCCAUGCCGCGUGUGUGAAGAAGGUCUUCGGAUUGUAAAGCACUUUAAGUUGGGAGGAAGGGCAGUAAGUUAAUACCUUGCUGUUUUGACGUUACCGACAGAAUAAGCACCGGCUAACUUCGUGCCAGCAGCCGCCGUAACAC